rnacentral:tRNA from 1 species
GGUCUCGUAGUUCAACGGAUAGAACCGGAACGCCGGACCGUGCGUUUCCUAAACAUUUGAUAUAGGUUCGAUUCCUGUCGAGAACG